rnacentral:misc_RNA from 1 species
UGUGAAUGUGGUGUGCAUGCG